AGCUGCAGGAAGUUCUCUUUGGAAGAAGACACAGCUGUUCUCCGUUCAUUUUUCCUUUACUGAGAAGGGCUUGUCCUUCAGUGUCUUGCAGAGUUUGUGUUUCUUCGCUAAUGAAAUGGGCCUUUUCACUCUUCAAGUCUUCCUGUGCACCAAAGGACUCUUACCCUCGAGUGCUGGAAACAGAGCUUCAGGAGAUGGGAAAACCAAGGAGUAGAAAAUCUAAGGAACUUGCUGGAAGUCACUUGGCUAACUGGUGGCAGAGCGGGACUUUAAACCAGGGGCACUAAUGCCACAGCAUAUUCAGAUGAGGAGACUACAACUAAAGACUUGACCGAAUGUACAGCUAG